rnacentral:rRNA from 1 species
ACGGAGGGUGCAAGCGUUAUCCGGAUUCACUGGGUUUAAAGGGUGCGUAGGAGGGCAGGUAAGUCAGUGGUGAAAUCUCCGAGCUUAACUUGGAAACUGCCGUUGAUACUAUCUGCCUUGAAUAUUGUGGAGGUGAGCGGAAUAUGUCAUGUAGCGGUGAAAUGCUUAGAUAUGACAUAGAACACCUAUUGCGAAGGCAGCUCACUACGGGAUUAUUGACACGGAGGCACGAAAGCGUGGGGAUCAAACAGGA